rnacentral:rRNA from 1 species
AGUGAACGCUGGCGGUAGGCCUAACACAUGCAAGUCGAACGGCAGCACAGGAGAGCUUGCUCUCUGGGUGGCGAGUGGCGGACGGGUGAGGAAUACAUCGGAAUCUACUUUUUCGUGGGGGAUAACGUAGGGAAACUUACGCUAAUACCGCAUACGACCUACGGGUGAAAGCAGGGGAUCUUCGGACCUUGCGCGAUUGAAUGAGCCGAUUUCGGAUUAGCUAGUUGGCGGGGGAAAGGCCCACCAAGGCGACGAUCCGUAACUGGUCUGCUAGGAUGAUCAGCCACACUGGAACUGAGACACGGUCCAGACUCCUACGGGAGGCAGCAGUGGACAAUAUUGGACAAUGGGCGCAAGCCUGAUCCAGCCAUACCGCGUGGGUGAAGAAGGCCUUCGGGUUGUAAAGCCCUUUUGUUGGGAAAGAAAUCCAGCUGGUUAAUCCCCGGUUGGGAUGACGGUACCCAAAGAAUAAGCACCGGCUAACUUCGUGCCAGCCGCCGCAGUAA